UGCGGAUUGAUGUAAUAGUAACAUAACUGGUUCAUGCCCAGCAUCUGGGGGUGCAAAUCCUCUGUCCGCAA
rnacentral:tRNA from 1 species